rnacentral:rRNA from 1 species
CUUAGGAAUCUGCCUAUUAGUGGGGGACAACAUUCCGAAAGGAAUGCUAAUACCGCAUACGUCCUACGGGAGAAAGCAGGGGACCUUCGGGCCUUGCGCUAAUAGAUGAGCCUAAGUCGGAUUAGCUAGUUGGUGGGGUAAAGGCCUACCAAGGCGACGAUCUGUAGCGGGUCUGAGAGGAUGAUCCGCCACACUGGGACUGAGACACGGCCCAGACUCCUACGGGAGGCAGCAGUGGGGAAUAUUGGACAAUGGGGGGAACCCUGAUCCAGCCAUGCCGCGUGUGUGAAGAAGGCCUUAUGGUUGUAAAGCACUUUAAGCGAGGAGGAGGCUACUAGUAUUAAUACUACUGGAUAGUGGACGUUACUCGCAGAAUAAGCACCGGCUAACUCUGUGCCAGCAGCCGCGGUAAUACAGAGGGUGCGAGCGUUAAUCGGAUUUACUGGGCGUAAAGCGUGCGUAGGCGGCCAUUUAAGUCAAAUGUGAAAUCCCCGAGCUUAACUUGGGAAUUGCAUUCGAUACUGGAUGGCUAGAGUAUGGGAGAGGAUGGUAGAAUUCCAGGUGUAGCGGUGAAAUGCGUAGAAGAUCUGGAGAAUACGAUGGCGAAGGCAGCCAUCUGGGCCUAAU